CUUGCUUCUUUUGGAAUCGAGUGGCAAACGGGUGAGUAACACGUAAACAACCUGCCUUCAGGAUGGGGACAACAGACGGAAACGACUGCUAAUACCGAAUACGCUUGGGAGACCGCAUGACCUUCCAAGGAAAGGGUGGCCUCUACCUGUAAGCUAUCGCCUGAAGAGGGGUUUGCGUCUGAUUAGGCAGUUGGUGAGGUAACGGCCCACCAAACCUACGAUCAGUAGCCGGUCUGAGAGGAUGAACGGCCACACUGGAACUGAGACACGGUCCAGACUCC
rnacentral:rRNA from 1 species